UACAGAGGUGGCAAGCGUUGUUCGGAAUUACUGGGCGUAAAGGGCGCGUAGGCGGCCAUCUAAGUCAGACGUGAAAUCCCCCGGCUUAACCUGGGAACUGCGUCUGAUACUGGACGGCUUGAGUAUGGGAGAGGGAUGUAGAAUUCCAGGUGUAGCGGUGAAAUGCGUAGAUAUCUGGAGGAAUACCGGUGGCGAAGGCGGCAUCCUGGACCGAUAUUGACACUGAUGAGCGAAAGCCAGGGGAGCAAACGGG
rnacentral:rRNA from 1 species